UCAGGGCCAGAACUGACGAUUGAAAUGAUCCUACAAGCAGCGCAGCCAAAACUGGAGCCAUUCCCCUUUGAAGAGCACACCGACCUGCCAGUUCAAGGCCUCGGUGGCAUCGGUGGUGGGGAGGUUGAAGACCCCACUGGUGGCAUGGGUGGGGAGGUUCAACAAGACCCCACUGGUGGCAUGGGUGGGGAGGUUCAACAAGACCCCACUGGUGGCAUGGGUGGGGAGGUUGAAGACCCUACCGGUGGCAUGGGUGGGGAGCUCCCUCCCACCGUGUAGUGAAACCUUUACUAUCUACAAUACCUUUUAUGUUGUGUGUCACAGAGAAACCUUUCUCUGCCUUAUUAACAAUAAAUAAAGCACAUUACUUGUGCGUGUUCUGGAAGAAAAAUCUCAGCGUUGUAGUCUACGAGAAGGGUUAAUCGUCUCUUUGUGAGAAUUGACGCGCCCUAAAAGUAAGCCGAUGAGGAUAAAUAAGAUGUGGUGCUACGGUACAUCAUGAGGAUUACUCAUCAAUAUUGGAUUAGUCAUCAGAAGGAUGCUUUUCCGACGAGCUGUAGUACAUCAGACCUUACAUACCUCCAUUAUGUGCAUAUGAGUGAAUGAAUAAAGUAUAUUGUGCUCAUUUAGUGAUUGUAUAUGGGUCCAUCAUUUUGGAUUUUGUCGUGGUCUUGGAAUACGGUGGGAAGGAUAUCUAGUGCAUGUUCACGAUUACCACUCGCAUGGUUU
rnacentral:lncRNA from 1 species